GCACAAGAUAGUAAGAAAGGAGAUAAAGAUGUCUCUGAGGAUGCAGUUGAUGUGCUUCUCUCUCUUGGACUUAUUGAUUUGCUUUUGGGCAUUCUCCGUGAUAUUGAACCGCCGGCGGUAAUAAAGAAAGCACUUCAACAAGCAGAGAAUGAAGAUAGAAAAAAUCUUCCAAACAUAUUAAAGGCGUGUCCAUAUAAAGGGUUUCGAAGAGAUAUUGUUGCU
rnacentral:misc_RNA from 1 species